rnacentral:rRNA from 1 species
AGAGUUUGAUCCUGGCUCAGAUUGAACGCUGGCGGCAGGCUUAACACAUGCAAGUCGAGCGGGGGAGGUUGCUUCGGUAACUGACCUAGCGGCGGACGGGUGAGUAAUGCUUAGGAAUCUGCCUAUUAGUGGGGGACAACAUCUCGAAAGGGAUGCUAAUACCGCAUACGCCCUACGGGAGAAAGCAGGGGACCUUCGGGCCUUGCGCUAAUAGAUGAGCCUAAGUCGGAUUAGCUAGUUGGUGGGGUAAAGGCCUACCAAGGCGACGAUCUGUAGCGGGUCUGAGAGGAUGAUCCGCCACACUGGGACUGAGACACGGCCCAGACUCCUACGGGAGGCAGCAGUGGGGAAUAUUGGACAAUGGGGGGAACCCUGAUCCAGCCAUGCCGCGUGUGUGAAGAAGGCCUUUUGGUUGUAAAGCACUUUAAGCGAGGAGGAGGCUACUGGUAUUAAUACUACCGGAUAGUGGACGUUACUCGCAGAAUAAGCACCGGCUAACUCUGUGCCAGCAGCCGCGGUAAUACAGAGGGUGCGAGCGUUAAUCGGAUUUACUGGGCGUAAAGCGUGCGUAGGCGGCUUUUUAAGUCGGAUGUGAAAUCCCUGAGCUUAACUUAGGAAUUGCAUUCGAUACUGGGAGGCUAGAGUAUGGGAGAGGAUGGUAGAAUUCCAGGUGUAGCGGUGAAAUGCGUAGAGAUCUGGAGGAAUACCGAUGGCGAAGGCAGCCAUCUGGCCUAAUACUGACGCUGAGGUACGAAAGCAUGGGGAGCAAACAGGAUUAGAUACCCUGGUAGUCCAUGCCGUAAACGAUGUCUACUAGCCGUUG